GAAUUGAAAGCUUCUAUAGCAUUGAUCUUGUAAAUCAAAGAAUGAUAAAAUAUCUCAAUUCU
rnacentral:tRNA from 1 species